GAGCUGGGUUCAGAACGUCGUGAGACAGUUCGGUCCCUAUCCGUCGCGGGCGUAGGAAAUUUGAGAGGAUCUGCUCCUAGUACGAGAGGACCAGAGUGGACGAACCUCUGGUGUACCGGUUGUAACGCCAGUUGCAUAGCCGGGUAGCUAAGUUCGGAAGAGAUAAGCGCUGAAAGCAUCUAAGUGCGAAACUCCCCUCAAGAUGAGACUUCUUUAAAGGGACGUCAAAGACUAUGACGUUGAUAGGCUGCAGGUGUAAAGCUAGAGAUAGCAAAGCUGAGCAG
rnacentral:rRNA from 13 species